UGAACUGAGGGUAGCGGAGAAAUUCCAAUCGAACCUGGAGAUAGCUGGUUCUCUCCGAAAUAGCUUUAGGGCUAGCCUCAAGUGAUGAUUAUUGGAGGUAGAGCACUGUUUGGACGAGGGGCCCCUCUCGGGUUACCGAAUUCAGACAAACUCCGAAUGCCAAUUAAUUUAACUUGGGAGUCAGAACAUGGGUGAUAAGGUCCGUGUUCGAAAGGGAAACAGCCCAGACCACCAGCUAAGGUCCCAAAAUAUAUGUUAAGUGGAAAAGGAUGUGGCGUUGCCCAGACAACUAGGAUGUUGGCUUAGAAGCAGCCAUCAUUUAAAGAGUGCGUAAUAGCUCACUAGUCGAGUGACACUGCGCCGAAAAUGUACCGGGGCUAAACAUAUUACCGAAGCUGUGGAUUGUCCUUUGGACAAUGGUAGGAGAGCGUUCUAAGGGCGUUGAAGCAUGAUCGUAAGGACAUGUGGAGCGCUUAGAAGUGAGAAUGCCGGUGUGAGUAGCGAAAGACGGGUGAGAAUCCCGUCCACCGAUUGACUAAGGUUUCCAGAGGAAGGCUCGUCCGCUCUGGGUUAGUCGGGUCCUAAGCUGAGGCCGACAGGCGUAGGCGAUGGAUAACAGGUUGAUAUUCCUGUACCACCUAUAAUCGUUUUAAUCGAUGGGGGGACGCAGUAGGAUAGGCGAAGCGUGCGAUUGGAUUGCACGUCUAAGCAGUAAGGCUGAGUAUUAGGCAAAUCCGGUACUCGUUAAGGCUGAGCUGUGAUGGGGAGAAGACAUUGUGUCUUCGAGUCGUUGAUUUCACACUGCCGAGAAAAGCCUCUAGAUAGAAAAUAGGUGCCCGUACCGCAAACCGACACAGGUAGUCAAGAUGAGAAUUCUAAGGUGAGCGAGCGAACUCUCGUUAAGGAACUCGGCAAAAUGACCCCGUAACUUCGGGAGAAGGGGUGCUCUUUAGGGUUAACGCCCAGAAGAGCCGCAGUGAAUAGGCCCAAGCGACUGUUUAUCAAAAACACAGGUCUCUGCUAAACCGUAAGGUGAUGUAUAGGGGCUGACGCCUGCCCGGUGCUGGAAGGUUAAGAGGAGUGGUUAGCUUCUGCGAAGCUACGAAUCGAAGCCCCAGUAAACGGCGGCCGUAACUAUAACGGUCCUAAGGUAGCGAAAUUCCUUGUCGGGUAAGUUCCGACCCGCACGAAAGGCGUAACGAUUUGGGCACUGUCUCAACGAGAGACUCGGUGAAAUCAUAGUACCUGUGAAGAUGCAGGUUACCCGCGACAGGACGGAAAGACCCCGUGGAGCUUUACUGUAGCCUGAUAUUGAAAUUCGGCACAGCUUGUACAGGAUAGGUAGGAGCCUUUGAAACGUGAGCGCUAGCUUACGUGGAGGCGCUGGUGGGAUACUACCCUAGCUGUGUUGGCUUUCUAACCCGCACCACUUAUCGUGGUGGGAGACAGUGUCAGGCGGGCAGUUUGACUGGGGCGGUCGCCUCCUAAAAGGUAACGGAGGCGCUCAAAGGUUCCCUCAGAAUGGUUGGAAAUCAUUCAUAGAGUGUAAAGGCAUAAGGGAGCUUGACUGCGAGACCUACAAGUCGAGCAGGGUCGAAAGACGGACUUAGUGAUCCGGUGGUUCCGCAUGGAAGGGCCAUCGCUCAACGGAUAAAAGCUACCCCGGGGAUAACAGGCUUAUCUCCCCCAAGAGUUCACAUCGACGGGGAGGUUUGGCACCUCGAUGUCGGCUCAUCGCAUCCUGGGGCUGUAGUCGGUCCCAAGGGUUGGGCUGUUCGCCCAUUAAAGCGGUACGCGAGCUGGGUUCAGAACGUCGUGAGACAGUUCGGUCCCUAUCCGUCGUGGGCGUAGGAAAUUUGAGAGGAGCUGUCCUUAGUACGAGAGGACCGGGAUGGACAUACCUCUGGUGUACCAGUUGUCGUGCCAACGGCAUAGCUGGGUAGCUAUGUGUGGACGGGAUAAGUGCUGAAAGCAUCUAAGCAUGAAGCCCCCCUCAAGAUGAGAUUUCCCAACUUCGGUUAUAAGAUCCCUCAAAGAUGAUGAGGUUAAUAGGUUCGAGGUGGAAGCAUGGUGACAUGUGGAGCUGACGAAUACUAA
rnacentral:rRNA from 1 species